ACGGGAGGCAGCAGUGGGGAAUAUUGGACAAUGGGCGAAAGCCUGAUCCAGCGACGCCGCGUGAGUGAAGAAGUAUUUCGGUAUGUAAAGCUCUAUCAGCAGGGAAGAUAAUGACGGUACCUGACUAAGAAGCCCCGGCUAACUACGUGCCAGCAGCCGCGGUAAUACGUAGGGGGCAAGCGUUAUCCGGAUUUACUGGGUGUAAAGGGAGCGUAGACGGCAUGGCAAGUCUGGUGUGAAAGCCCAGGGCUCAACCCUGGGACUGCAUUGGAAACUGUCAAGCUAGAGUGCAGGAGAGGUAAGUGGAAUUCCUAGUGUAGCGGUGAAAUGCGUAGAUAUUAGGAGGAACACCAGUGGCGAAGGCGGCUUACUGGACUGUAACUGACGUUGAGGCUCGAAAGCGUGGGGAGCAAACAUGAUUAGAUACCCUGGUA
rnacentral:rRNA from 1 species